AUAAAUAUUCAAACCAUAUAGAGUCAACACAUAGGGUUUUAGAUAAAUAUUCAAACCAGAUAGAGUCAACACAUAGGGUUUUAGAUAAAUAUUCAAACCAUAUAGAGUCACCACAUAGGUUUUUAGAUAAAUAUUCAAGCCAUAUAGAGUCAAGACAUAGGGUUUUAGAUAAAUAUUCAAACCAUAUAGAGUCAACACAUAGGGUUUUAUAUAAAUAUUCAAGCCAUAUAGAGUCAACACAUAGGGUUUUAUAUAAAUAUUCAAACCAUAUAGAGUCAACACAUAGGGUUUUAUAUAAAAUAUUCAAGCCAUACAGAUAGAGUCAACCACAUAGGGUUUUAUAUAAAUAUUCAAGCCAUAUAGAGUCAAGACAUAGGGUUUUAGAUAAAUAUUCAAACCAUACAGAGUCACCACAUAGGAUUUUAUAUAAAUAUUCAAACCAUAUAGAGUCAACACAUAGGGUUUUAUAUAAAUAUUCAAGCCAUAUAGAGUCAACACAUAGGGUUUUAUAUAAAUAUUACUGACUAGUCAAUGUAUUACUAUAACUACAUUGGUUAAUUUGUGAAUUUGGCUUCAUUAAAAUGCAAUCUUCAAGGUACUGAUGUAACUUUGUCCCACUUCUCCAUUAUUAUACAAAAGCAA
rnacentral:lncRNA from 1 species